rnacentral:rRNA from 1 species
CCUACGGGGGGCUGCAGUGAGGAAUAUUGGUCAAUGGUCGGGAGACUGAACCAGCCAAGCCGCGUGAGGGAUGAAGGUACAGAGUAUCGUAAACCUCUUUUGUCAGGGAACAAAGGCGGGGACGUGUCCCCGGAUGAGUGUACCUGAAGAAACAGCAUCGGCUAACUCCGUGCCAGCAGCCGCGGUAAUACGGAGGAUGUGAGCGUUAUCCGGAUUUAUGGGGUUAAAGGGGUGCGCAGGCGGUCUGUAAAGAUAGCGGUAAAAGCCCGGGGCUAAACCCCGCCCCGCCGUUGAAACUGGCAGUCUCGAGUGGGAGAGAAGUAUGCGGAAUGCGCGGUGUAGCGGUGAAAUGCAUAGAUAUCGCGCAGAACUCCGAUUGCGAAGGCAGCAUGCCGGCUCCACACUGACGCUGAGGCACGAAAGCGUGGGUAUCGAACAGGAUUAGAUACCCCGGUAGUC